rnacentral:rRNA from 1 species
UACGGGGGGGGCAAGCGUUGUUCGGAAUUACUGGGCGUAAAGGGCUCGUAGGUGGCCAACUAAGUCAGACGUUGAAAUCCCUCGGCUUAACCGGGGAACUGCGUCUGAUACUGGAUGGCUUGAGUUCGGGAGAGGGAUGCGGAAUUCCAGGUGUAGCGGUGAAAUGCGUAGAUAUCUGGAGGAACACCGGUGGCGAAGGCGGCAUCCUGGACCGACACUGACACUGAGGAGCGAAAGCCAGGGGAGCAAACGGG